CCUGCACCGGUGGGGUCCCUUGGCCUGGCCUGUGGCUCUCUGACAUCCCCUGAGGGGUCCCAGAUUGCGAGAGGGUGCAGGCCAGGCCAAGGGACGCCACCGGUGCACG
rnacentral:pre_miRNA from 1 species